ensembl:lncRNA
GGCGGGAAGAGGGAAGAUUUGUUGACCAUCAGGUGUCCUGAAUUGUCUUAAGCAGAGGAGGCCUGUGAGAAAAAGAAGCAAGAGACAAGGAAGUGGGAGCCAGGGCCCCGUCCAAGGGGGCUGGACCCUAAUUCAAAGACAGUGGGACCAUGGCUUCUGUGUCCAGUGCGGGGGUGUAGGGGCUGUGCUUCCAAAGGACACAGCCCAGACUGAAGGGGAUGGUCAGAGACGGGUCAUAGAAUCCAUCCUCUCACAACGCAGCAGAUGCCUGGCCCACUGCCAAGGUCGUGGGAAAGGGAGCGACCAGAGAUGGGGUGGGGGGCGCAGAGAGCUCCAGCAGAGAGGCGAACGAGAGCAGGGGCAGCGAGGGCUGUGGGAGAUGGAAAUCCACCUUCUCCAUGAGGGGGUGGGAUGGUGCUUAUACAGGACACCACCCGUAAAACAAAAAAGAGAAAAAGAAAAGGUGGGAUGAUAAAGUCCUUCUGGUCAUUUUACAAAAAAGUCCUGCAGGAGAGGAAAACCCUGUAGGAAAGGAGACUGGGGGUUGGGGGCUGGGGUUUGAGGUGGGCUGCAGGGCAGGAGGAGAGGAGGGGUUGGAGGUCGAGGGGAGGGGCGUGGGUGAGGGGGAGCAGGCGGGCCUCCGAGGAAAGCCUCCAGAGUCUGCCCCUUGGCCUGGGGGGACUGGUGACUAAAGCGGUCUCAAUGAGGGGCAGUACGUGGUGAGGAACAAAGUCCGGGGGGAUGUUAGGAGCUCAACUGCACUGAAUCAGAUCCUCUUGAAUGUAGCACAGUCGGCGGCAUCAGAUGAGAUAGUGAAAAGAGAAUUCCAUUCAGGUGGUUCACCUGCAGAGACUUGAAAGAGGGUGUGGGCAGAACUAAAGAGACUAACCCCCAGAGACCAGCAACAGCCGAAGCCACCCACCCCGGGCCUGAGCAGAGGGCAGUGAAGGUGGGACUGCGGCCCCAGAGAGGGCGGUCACACGGUCAUCAAUGUAGGGCCAGCACGGGGAUGGACAGAGAAGAAACACCCCAACUUCUCCCCCACUGCGGGCUCCUGGGUAGUGCUCACUGACUGAUCACAACAGAGAGUGGGGCGCGAGGCAGCCCAGGUGAUGUGAUUGUUCGGGACCACAGCCCUCCCAGGUGCCAAGCAAGGCAGGGAAGGGAUUUGAGGGCAGAGCAAAUGGAGAUGAACUGACACACACAGCUUGCAAGCAGCUUUCCCCCGAAUCCAUCAGAACACGAUGAUGUCGCUGGUGUGUGAUCCACACUGCUCUUCUCUCUGUGCGGGGGCAAUCAAGAGUAGAAGGAAGAGUUUCUCAGGACAUUGAAGUCAUUCUGCUUGUCAUCACCAAAAAUGUGCCCUUUCUCCGGAAUCCUACAACAGCAUUUUUGCAUUGCCAGCAGGAGGCAGGAGAGAGGAGAAAGCCAUACUUGCGGAGCGCCUGUCUGAUGAGACGCUGUCAGGUCCGAGGGAGCGGAGAGAGGCUGAAAUGGCGGAGUCUGUUUCAUCAUGACCCUGCACCUUGUCCCUGAGACGAUGCGACACACAAACUGCUGGUUAUGAAUGUGUCAAUGUUUCCAUAGCCUCUGUACACAAGAGGAGUCAGCUGGAAAAGUAUGAACUCUGUGUCCAUAGCGUUCUGCUUAUUUAUCAUUUGCAAAAAGAUUAAGAGGAUAGUCCAGGGAUUUCUUCUUGGAGAAGAAAUGGAGAGAGAGUGAGAGGGCAUUUAUCUCAUCUCUAGGAAGAAAUCAGGGAGAACAGAAAGUUAAAGACUGCCAGGCAAUUCUCCAUCUCUCCAAACCUCAGGGGUUUUAGGACCAUAGGGUUUUAGAGCCAGAAGAGAUCUUGGAGGGAGCUGGGGCGACCAGGUGGCAGCCGGCAUCAGUGAGAGGUCCCAGGC